rnacentral:rRNA from 1 species
UCCACGCCGUAAACGAUGGAUACUUGGUGUUGGAAGGUCGACCCUUUCAGUGCCGUAGUUAACGCGUUAAGUAUCCCGCCUGGGGACUACGACCGCAAGGUUGAAACUCAAAGGAAUUGACGGGGGCCCGCACAAGCGGUGGAACAUGUGGUUUAAUUCGAUGCAACGCGAAGAACCUUACCUGGGCUUGACAUAUGCAUGAAGCACUCGAGAAAUCGAGUGUUAUUUGGCUU